rnacentral:rRNA from 1 species
CCUACGGGUGGCAGCAGUGGGGAAUAUUGCGCAAUGGGCGAAAGCCUGACGCAGCGACGCCGCGUGAGGGAUGAAGGUCUUCGGAUCGUAAACCUCUGUCAGCAGGGAAGAACGGUCACUGUGCUAAUCAGCAGUGAAUUGACGGUACCUGCAAAGGAAGCACCGUCUAACUCCGUGCCAGCAGCUGCGGGAAUACGGAGGGUGCGAGCGUUAAUCGGAAUUACUGGGCGUAAAGCGCUCGUAGGCGGUAUGUCAAGUCAAGGGUGAAAUCCCCGCGCUCAACGUGGGAACUGCCUUUGAAACUGGCAAGCUGGAGUGUGUGAGAGGUAAGUGGAAUUCCAGGUGUAGGAGUGAAAUGCGUAGAUAUCUGGAGGAACAUCAGUGGCGAAGGCGACUAUCUGGCACAUAACUGACGCUGAGGAGCGAAAGCGUGGGUAGCAAACAGGAUUAGAUACCCCUGUAGUC